UUAGCUUUAUACUUUUAAAAGUGAUCUUAUACGUACUAAUAAAAUGAUAUGAAAAAUGUUAGAAGUAGUAGAGGAGAAAUUUAGACAGAGAUAAACAAAAAAUUGAAGAUACCAAAAUAAAGUUACGGAGAUAUAAAUAAAAUUUGGGGAGAAUGACAAAAAGAUCAUGAACAACACAACUUUAAAAAAGAGAAAAUUCGUAACAAUGAGGAUCAAAAAAUUUCAAGAGCAAAAUGUUGGAUAAAGAGGUAAAACAAAACUAGGGGGAAAAACCAAGAGUGUAUUAGUAUAAGGAGAGAAAAAUGUUACUUGUUCCAAUAGGUAGUGCGCUACUUCGGCCCUUACCAGGUGCAAAUUCAUAAUUUUCAUGUUAUGAUCUUUGUUGAUUGAUGCAUUUAAGCUCUAUUGUUUGUCCGUUUUGACUUUAUUCUAUCAAUGAAAACUCGUUUUCACCCUCUAGAGGUGCUGAUCAAAACCUAUAAAAAGGUCAAAUAGACACACGUAGAAUAUACGAACAAUCUCAAGUUGAAGAGUA
rnacentral:lncRNA from 1 species